UUAUUUUAUUCUUAUGAGCUUGUGGGCUCCAUCUACCCAUGCUCCGGGCAAAUGCUCAUCUGACUUCCAUAGACACACAGCAAGCAGACAACCAACCACACAGAGAGGAAGAGGGAGAAUAUUU
ensembl:misc_RNA